UACGGAGGGGGCUAGCGUUGUUCGGAAUUACUGGGCGUAAAGGGCGCGUAGGCGGCCUGCUAAGUCGAACGUGAAAUCCCUGGGCUCAACCCAGGAACUGCGUCCGAUACUGGUUGGCUUGAAUCCGGGAGAGGGAUGUGGAAUUCCAGGUGUAGCGGUGAAAUGCGUAGAUAUCUGGAGGAACACCGGUGGCGAAGGCGACAUCCUGGACCGGCAUUGACGCUGAGGCGCGAAAGCCAGGGGAGCAAACGGG
rnacentral:rRNA from 1 species